UAGGGAAUAUUGGGCAAUGGAGGCAACUCUGACCCAGCAAUGCCGCGUGAAUGAAGAAGGUUUUCGGAUUGUAAAGUUCUGUUCUAAGGGAAGAAUAAAAUGACGGUACCUUAGAAGAAAGCCACGGCAAACUACGUGCCAGCAGCCGCGGUAAUACGUAGGUGGCAAGCGUUGUCCGGAAUAACUGGGCGUAAAGGGAGUGUAGGUGGCUUUUUAAGUUAAAUGUGAAAUCCUUGGGCUUAACCCAAGAACUGCAUUUAAUACUGAAUAGCUAGAGUGCAGGAGAGGAUAGUGGAAUUCCUAGUGUAGCGGUAGAAUGCGUAGAUAUUAGGAGGAACAUCAGAGGCGAAGGCGGCUAUCUGGACUGUAACUGACACUGAGACUCGAAAGCGUGGGGAGCAAACA
rnacentral:rRNA from 1 species